AAACGGUGUGAAAUAAAUCUUUUAGAACUUUUACAUAUUUCAACAUAGUUAUGGCAACCAAGAAGUUUCUAUCUCUUAUAUACUUGAUGGUGUUGGUUCAAAUCUUUCUACCAAUGAUUUCAGGACAAACCAAAGAAUGUUUUCUGCAACAACCAUGUGAAAACUCACCGACAUGCAAUGAGUUUUGUAAAUUUAAAGGAUACAUACAAGGAGGAUAUUGUCAACACUAUCUUGGCCCAAAUCACAACAAUUGUUGCUGCUACCUUGUUGAUUCAGAAAAGGUUUUCAAAUUCGAUCAUACCAAUGUACUCAUUACAAAUUAGUUCAUCAUCGUAGUCAGUGCCAGUCCGGACUCAUAUAACCCCUAUA